GAAAACUAUCGAAAUACUAUCGACGAAUAACACUUAUGAAGAAAUGUAAUACGUCGUUGGUGUUUCCAUAGUUUGA
ncrna:Caenorhabditis elegans microRNA cel-mir-70 precursor